UGAGGAAUAUUGCACAAUGGGCGAAAGCCUGAUGCAGCGACGCCGCGUGGAGGAUGAAGGAUUUCGGUCUGUAAACUCCUGUCAGUAGGGAAGAGAAUGGACGGUACCUACUGAGGAAGCUUCGGCUAACUACGUGCCAGCAGCCGCGGUAAGACGUAGGAAGCAAGCGUUGUCCGGAAUUACUGGGCGUAAAGAGCUCGUAGGCGGGAUCGUAAGUCUUAGAGUAAAUCUCACGGCUCAACCGUGGGGC
rnacentral:rRNA from 1 species